CCUACGGGCGGCAGCAGUGGGGAAUAUUGGACAAUGGGGGCAACCCUGAUCCAGCCAUGCCGCGUGUGUGAAGAAGGCCCUCGGGUUGUAAAGCACUUUCAGUGAGGAAGAACGCCUGGUGGUUAAUACCCAUCAGGAAAGACAUCACUCACAGAAGAAGCACCGGCUAACUCCGUGCCAGCAGCCGCGGUAACACGGAGGGUGCGAGCGUUAAUCGGAAUUACUGGGCGUAAAGCGCGCGUAGGUGGCUUGAUAAGCCGGUUGUGAAAGCCCCGGGCUCAACCUGGGAACGGCAUCCGGAACUGUCAAGCUAGAGUGCAGGAGAGGAAGGUAGAAUUCCCGGUGUAGCGGUGAAAUGCGUAGAGAUCGGGAGGAAUACCAGUGGCGAAGGCGGCCUUCUGGACUGACACUGACACUGAGGUGCGAAAGCGUGGGUAGCGAACAGGAUUAGAUACCCUAGUAGUC
rnacentral:rRNA from 1 species